rnacentral:misc_RNA from 1 species
AACAAUGGCGCAGGCGGCGCCUCGAACUGGAUCACGGUCACAUGUACGCCCGGCCCGGCCAAUGCCAGCCUGACGGAAAUCCAGAGCAGCGGAAGUCCGAGCAUCGCGUGCCCUUCACCGCCACCAUGACCGGCACCGCAUCCAACGGCACUCCGAACGGCACCGUCACCUUCGACUUCGGCGAUGGCACAGCGGCAACACCCGUCACG